CUAAGAUUGUAUCCUAAACUGUAAACUGUUCUCAGUGCUAGCUCUAACAGAGAGGGUACAGAAGGCUGACAACCUUGGCCUGAGGAGAUCAGUUUCAAUCGUGAAGGCAGUACAAGUGGCACCCCAUUUCCAGAUUCCAUGGACUUUCCGGAUUAAAAAUACCAUUGCUUUUUGAAGAAAUCUGUUGACCCUGCCAUAUUGAUAAGUAGUUGAGGUUGCAGUUAUUUUCAAAGGCAAUGAAUGGAUUGGACAUGAAUGGGAGAAACGGCAAGUAAAGUAGCUUGUUUCCACAAACAGAAAGCAUGCUCAAAUGUGGAAGAUACACCUGCAAUCAAAUUCAAUCUUUUUUUUUUAGAAAGUGUGGGUCUUUCAUUGUUUAUUAAUCUCGUUUCUUCAUAAUGGAUACUUUACUUACAAUGUUGUCAGCUGAAGUCCAAAAUUUGAAGAGAUUGCAGCAUCUGAAAGUCUGUAAAAGAGAAUAAGUCAAAUUUUAUGGUUCAAAAUUAGAACAGUUGGCUCGAAUGAAACCCACCAUCUGGAAUGCAACUCAAUGCAUUUUUAGCUGCCAAGAAGCAAUUUAAUCUGUGCAAGUGCCCUAUUCCUGCAGGUACAAAUUUGUUAUAUUUUUUAAUUUCCCGAUCCAAUGAGGCUGCAAUUAACGGAGAUAUUAAUUAACAUAAAUAAACUAAUCUACAUUAUAAUUAUCCAGUGUCAUAGAUUGACUGCAACUUACCAAA